rnacentral:sRNA from 1 species
UCACAGCUCGUGAGGGCACGCUGGUGUC